rnacentral:rRNA from 1 species
AGUGAACGCUGGCGGUAGGCCUAACACAUGCAAGUCGAACGGCAGCACAGUAAGAGCUUGCUCUUACGGGUGGCGAGUGGCGGACGGGUGAGGAAUACAUCGGAAUCUACUUUUUCGUGGGGGAUAACGUAGGGAAACUUACGCUAAUACCGCAUACCAUCUACCAGUGAAAGCAGGGGAGCUUCGGACCUUUCCCGAUUUAAUGAGCCGAUGUCGGAUUUGCUAGUUGGCGGGGUAAAGGCCCACAAAGGCGGCGAUCGGUAGCUGGUCUGAGAGGAUGACCAGCCACACUGGAACUGAGACACGGCCCAGACUCCUACGGGAGGCAGCAGUGGGGAAUAUUGGACAAUGGGCGCAAGCCUGAUCCAGCCAUACCGCGUGGGUGAAGAAGGCCUUCGGGUUGUAAAGCCUUUUUGUUGGGAAAGAAAAGCAGCAGGUUAAUACGCCGCUGUUCUGACGGUACCCAAAGAAUAAGCACCGGCUAACUUCGUG